rnacentral:rRNA from 1 species
CCUACGGGAGGCAGCAGUGAGGAAUAUUGGUCAAUGGGCGAGAGCCUGAACCAGCCAAGUCGCGUGAGGGAGUACUGCCCUAUGGGUUGUAAACCUCUUUUGUCGGGGAGCAAAAGCCGGACGUGUCCGGCUGUGAGAGUACCCGAAGAAAAAGCAUCGGCUAACUUCGUGCCAGCAGCCGCGGUAAUACGGAGGCUGCGAGCGUUAUCCGGAUGUAGUGGGUUUAAAGGGUGCGCAGGCGGAUUUUUAAGUCAGCGGACAAAUGGUGGGGCUCAACCCCAUCCCGCCGUUGAAACUGGGGAUCUAGAGGGUGCGAGAGGUAUGCGGAAUGCGUGGUGUAGCGGUGAAAUGCAUAGAUAUCACGCAGAACCCCGAUUGCGAAGGCAGCAUACCGGUGCACAACUGACGCUCAGGCACGAAAGCGUGGGUAUCGAACAGGAUUAGAUACCCGGGUAGUC